GCAUCGAUGAAGAACGCAGCGAAAUGCGAUAAGUAAUGUGAAUUGCAGAAUUCAGUGAAUCAUCGAAUCUUUGAACGCACAUUGCGCCCUGUGGUAUUCCGCAGGGCAUGCCUGUUCGAGCGUCAUUUAACCACUCACGCCUAGCGUGGUAUUGGGGCACGCGGUCUCGCGGCCCUCAAAGUUAGUGGCGGCGCCGGUGGGCUCUAAGCGUAGUACAUACUCCCGCUAUAGAGUUCCCCCGGUGGCUCGCCAGAACCCCCAAUUUUUUACAGGUUUGACCUCGGAUCAGGUAGGGAUACCCGCUGAACUNAGCAUAUCAAUAGCGGAGGA
rnacentral:rRNA from 1 species